GGCGUGGCAGGGGCAGGUCAAUCACCCCGAGGCUUCAAGGCCUCUGGCAGGGCGGUGUGCUCCCCCUCCCCUGUGCUCGGUGCUGAUAACGUUGUUAUCAGGAGUGUCCGCUGAGCUGUGGCUUCCCCAUGCCAUACAAACACUCACAGGCAGCACUGCUGUCAGGAAGAUGGAGGCUGGGCUGGGAGGCUUGUUUUCAAGGCUGCGAGUGUCAACCACACAGCGCUGAGCAGAACAGACUCGGCCGAGCAGAUCCUCCAUCUCCCACCUUCAUCCUCUUCCCAACUGAAGUCAGAGGCAGGAGUGAGACCAGAGGUUGGCCUGAGAGUGGAGAGGAGUGAGGAAUGUAGCUGUUCUAGGGCCCCAGGCUGCUCAGAAUCCAUGGCAAAUCACUGGAAAGCAGCAGGCUGGCUUUACUGUGGUUGUCCCUGUGGCCGUUGGCUGACGUUGCUGAAAUUCCAGGCCUCCGGAGUGUCCACACAUCCACGGAGGGGAAAGCCUGUUGCAGACCAGCCACCACGGCCCUGCAGCUCAGGACCUUGCUCCUGAAGCCCGGAGUCCUGCCCUGGGGGCAGUCCUCAGCCAGGACUCACUCCCGAGAAGAACGAGAGGGGAAGCGCCACCAGGCCAGGAUGCCAGCUAGCAGCGCCCUCCAGUAAUGUCCUGGAGGGAGCAUCUCAUUCGUGCCAAACUCACUACUUCUAAUUCGUCAUCAUGAUUCUUCACAACGAAGAAAACCUCCAAGCCAGGAACCAGUGCCUUCCUGGGGCAUGGCAGGCCUCCCUCUGGCCUGAGCGGGCAGCUCUGUCCAGACCUGGGCUGUUCCAAAGGCGUGUGACUGUGUGACUGUCCUGCACACAGCCGGGUUGUGCUUGAGGCUGCAUUUACGGUGGAGGCGGAGGGUUCCUGGGGUUCCCCCAUCAUCGAUCAUUUCAUCGUGGAUACUCUCAUCAUUGAUAACUUCAUCGUUGAUACUUUUUUUUUUUUUUUUGAGACGGAGUCUCUCGCUCUGUCGCCCAGGCUAGAGUGCAAUGGCUCGAUCUCAGCUCACUGCAACCUCCA